rnacentral:rRNA from 1 species
AGAACGAACGCUGGCGGCAUGCCUAACACAUGCAAGUCGAACGCUUCCGGGGCUUCGGUCGCGGAGGAGUGGCGCACGGGUGAGUAACACGUGACUAACCUACCCUUGAGUGGGGGAUAACUGAGGGAAACCUUAGCUAAUACCGCAUAAUACCCACGGGUCAAAGGAGCAAUUCGCUCGAGGAGGGGUCGCGGCCGAUUAGUUAGUUGGCAGGGUAAUGGCCUACCAAGACGAUGAUCGGUAUCCGGCCUGAGAGGGCGCACGGACACACUGGAACUGAAACACGGUCCAGACUCCUACGGGAGGCAGCAGUGGGGAAUUUUGCGCAAUGGGGGAAACCCUGACGCAGCAACGCCGCGUGGAGGAUGAAGUCCUUCGGGACGUAAACUCCUUUCGAUCGGGACGAUUAUGACGGUACCGGAAGAAGAAGCCCCGGCUAACUUCGCGCCAGCAGCCGC